AUUGAACGCUGGCGGAAUGCUUUACACAUGCAAGUCGAACGGUAGAGGGGGCAACCCCUCGAGAGUGGCGAACGGGUGAGUAAUAUAUCGGAACGUGCCCAGUCGUGGGGGAUAACGUAGCGAAAGUUACGCUAAUACCGCAUAAGAUCUAAGGAUGAAAGCGGGGGAUCGCAAGACCUCGCGCGAUUGGAGCGGCCGAUAUCAGAUUAGGUAGUUGGGGGGGUAAAGGCUCACCAAGCCAACGAUGUGUAGCUGGUUCUGAGAGGACGACCAGCCACAAUGGAACGGAGACACGGUCCAGACUCCUACGGGAGGCAGCAGUGGGGAAUUUUGGACAAUGGACGCAAGUCUGAUCCAGCCAUUCCGCGUGCAGGAUGAAGGCCCUCGGGUUGUAAACUGCUUUUGUACGGAACGAAAAGGUCUCUCUUAAUACGGGGGACUCAUGACGGUACCGUAAGAAUAAGCACCGGCUAACUACGUGCCAGCCGCCGCGGUAACAC
rnacentral:rRNA from 1 species